rnacentral:rRNA from 1 species
UACGGAGGGCGCAAGCGUUAAUCGGAAUUACUGGGCGUAAAGCGCGCGCAGGCGGUUAGGUAAGUCAGAGGUGAAAUCCCCGGGCUCAACCUGGGAACUGCCUUUGUGACUGCAGAGCUGGAGUGCGGGAGAGGGGGAUGGAAUUCCGCGUGUAGCGGUGAAAUGCGUAGAUAUGCGGAGGAACACCGGUGGCGAAGGCAAUCCCCUGGGCCUGCACUGACGCUCAUGCACGAAAGCGUGGGGAGCAAACAGG